rnacentral:lncRNA from 1 species
GUUAGUAUGGCUCCGCGUGCGACCGCGGCUCCGUGAGCGGCACGUGGGCCUGGUGGGCUGACUCGGGCUCAGGCUCGCGUGGGGCACUGCGCUUUGCAGCGUCAGGCCCUGGUGGCCUGGCAAGCGGGGCGGAGGAAGCCGGGUCCGCGGCCGGGUCCAGCACGUUGUGGGCGGAGGAGGCCGCGGCUCGACGCGGUGCGGGAGAGCCCGGAGAGCUCGAGGUGGCGGAUCGGGCUCCUGCUAGCGGCCCGAGGGAGCUUAGAGGCUGCAGACUGGAUAUCGCCGGAGCCCGAGUCCAGUCCCGGACUCCGGGCAGCGGGCCCGAUUAGUUGGGCGAGGGGCGGGGAAGACGGAUGUGACCUGCCACCCCGGACGGCCGAGUGGAAAUGGCCCUCCACCUGGUGGCCGGGCUUCAGGGACGAGCUUUGGGCUUGAGGAGUCUUCUAGCACCCCUCGAGGAAACUACUUUUAUUAGGGUGCAGGUCCUUUCAGGCGUUGGGUGAAGAAGGCCCGAUUCUAUUCUCUGGGCUGAGUGAGACUGGGUUUUGCAGCACCUUCGUAUCAGGCUGUUCUUGGAGAUCGCUCUACUUGGACGAAGUGGUUUUAGGUGGUGCUUUGUCUUGUAGUUGGGACUCUUAAGGUGCAUUUCCGAUCGUCUUCAUCUUUCUACCUUGGCUUUCCAAUGCCUGUCCUUUUCUCGGGACUAGACUUUUUAGCAGUCAGUCAUUUUGGUUGGUAGGGGGAAGACACAUUGGGUAGAACAAUUUUGUAAUAACUGAAAGGUUGACUCAGUGCAAGUUGUGGACGGUCUCUUGAACAUGAAGGGAAAUAGUGUGGUUUGCAUGAACUGCAAAACUUGAAUAGCAGAAACCUAGGUGAGUUUUUAGAAGUUUCAGGGGUUUGUAGAGAGACGAUUGACGGAUGUUAACUUUGUAAAAGUCAACUGGACCCUCUUAGGUGUAGUUUUGGAAGUGCUAAAUCACGAGUUAAGCCAAUCCAGCUGAAAAUCGUUGACCACACUCUUAACUUUGAAGCUGGCAUAGAAAGCAGCUAGACUAUUGUUUGAUUCCCUCUGCCACUAACGAGAGGGUCUGGGAUGUGGGGAUUAAAAGCUAGGUCAAUGAAGUGCUGUAGUCUGAGGCCUAGGAUAGAUUUCACACUAAAGUUGAGUGCGCAAAGCACUUGUGAGAAAAAUAAAAGUGGUGUUUCUUGGGGGUUGGGGGAAGAAACGCUCCUUAUUUUGGUUCAUGUGCUGGCGGACCUUAGUGCUUGUAAAGACGGGGUGUCUGGAGAGGUUGAUCGGGACAAGUGUGCCAGUGAUCCCCCUUUCCUGAGCACCCCGAAGGGAACCCAUCUCAGCCUCUUUGGGUUUGUAUUUGUAAGAACUUCUUGCCUCUGACGUGAUUGGGUUUUUAAAGUGCGUGUGUGAGUGUGUGUGUAUAUGUAUACAUGCAUACAUACGUGUGUGUGUGUGUGUGUGUGUAUGUGGGGGGGACUGCCUGAGGCUUCAUCUGUUUUUUGUAUACUCCUAGAAAAAGCUUGUGGCGAAGGGGGGCAAAAAAAAGAAGCAGGUUUUGAAGUUCACCCUUGACUGCACUCACCCUGUAGAAGAUGGAAUCAUGGAUGCUGCCAAUUUUGAGCAGUUCCUCCAGGAGAGGAUCAAGGUGAACGGGAAAGCUGGUAACCUUGGCGGAGGGGUUGUGACCAUCGAGCGGAGCAAGAGCAAGAUCACUGUCACUUCCGAGGUGCCUUUCUCCAAAAGGUAUUUGAAAUAUCUCACCAAAAAAUAUUUGAAGAAGAACAACCUCCGAGACUGGCUGCGCGUCGUUGCCAACAGCAAGGAGAGCUACGAGCUGCGCUACUUCCAGAUCAACCAGGACGAGGAGGAGGAGGAGGACGAGGAUUAAGACACAUUGGUCUGCCAUGUUUUGUAUUAAUUCAUAAAUAAAAUU